rnacentral:lncRNA from 1 species
AUGGCUCCAGAGCCUCCGGAGCAGGGUGGCCUGAGGAGGGCGGGACCUAGCAGAGUGAUCCUGAGCGGCAACGAGGGCCCCCUGGAGAGGACCGGUCAGCCUCCUCCCCUGGGCCCAGGCCUGCAUCCUCACGCAGCCUGCUCUCGGCUCUCGCACACCCAGGAUGCUGCUCCCAGCGGCAGAGGCUCUGCCCCAGGACGUGCCGCACCGGAAGCAGCUGCGCCAGCCGUGCCCUCCCGCUGCAGGGCCAGCAUCGGGGCCAGCGCUCGGCGCCAGCUGCCGUCAGGGCCGUGUGGGGCUGGUGUGGGAGGCUGCCUCUGUUUUCUCUACCCAGUUUCUAAACACUACCUGUUCCACAGUGUGAACAACCAUCCAAGGACUUCCCUUACAUGUUCUACACCCACGACCAGCAGUGUCCAAUAGAAAUAUAAUAUGAGCCACAAACGCAUCUUUUAACAUUUUCAUAGCCACAUACAGAAGUAAAAAGGUGGGGAUCCCUGGGGGGCUCAGCGGCUGACCGUCUGCCUUCGGCCCAGGGUGUGAUCCCGGGGUUCUGGGAUCGAGUCCCCCAUCAGCCUCCCUGCAUGGAGCCUGUUUCUCCCUCUGCCUGGGUCUCUGCCUCUCUCUCUGUGUCUCUCAUGAAUAAAUAAAACCUUAAAAAAAUGUAAAAAGCUGAAAAGACUUACUUAACCCAAUAGAUCCAUAAUACUAUUGUUUCAACUAUGUAAUCGGUAUAAAGAUCAUUAAUGAGAUUCUUACAUUCUUUUUUUUUUCUACAAGUCUUCAAGAUCCGGUGUAUAUUUCACAUUUUCGGCCCCUACAUCUUAAUUGGGAUGACCCAUAUUUCAAGUGCACAGCCAGUGGCUCCCUGUAUGGGACAGUGCAUGUUUUACUCACUCACACCUGAUACCUUCCAGUCCCCAAUAUCAAUAAAUUUGUGUUGACCGGUUGAGGAGCUGGUGGUCUUCUGGGAAUCCUACAGCAGCAGUGGCUGAGGGAAGGGCCUG